rnacentral:rRNA from 1 species
GUGGAUUAGAUACCCCAGUAGUCCACGCCGUAAACGAUGUCGACUAGCCGUUGGGAUCCUUGAGAUCUUAGUGGCGCAGCUAACGCAUUAAGUCGACCGCCUGGGGAGUACGGCCGCAAGGUUAAAACUCAAAUGAAUUGACGGGGGCCCGCACAAGCGGUGGAGCAUGUGGUUUAAUUCGAAGCAACGCGAAGAACCUUACCUGGCCUUGACAUGCUGAGAACUUUCCAGAGAUGGAUUGGUGCCUUCGGGAACUCAGACACAGGUGCUGCACGGUUGUCGACAACU